rnacentral:rRNA from 1 species
AGAGUUUGAUCCUGGCUCAGGAUGAACGCUAGCUACAGGCUUAACACAUGCAAGUCGAGCGGAACAGCUUCUGCUGUUUAGCGGCAGACGGGUGAGUAACACGUAUCCAACCUUUCCCUUACCCGGGUAUAGCCUCGGGAAACUGAGAGUAAUCCCCGAUGUGGUGUACGAGAAGCAUUUGUUGCACACCAAAGAUUCAUCGGUAAGGGGUGGGGAUGCGUUCCAUUAGCUAGUAGGCGGGGUAACGGCCCACCUAGGCGAUGAUGGAUAGGGGUUCUGAGAGGAAGGUCCCCCACACUGGAACUGCGACACGGUCCAGACUCCUACGGGAGGCAGCAGUGAGGAAUAUUGGUCAAUGGGCGGUAGCCUGAACCAGCCAAGUAGCGUGCAGGAUGACGGCCCUACGGGUUGUAAACUGCUUUUGUGCGGGAAUAACGGUCUUUACGUGUAGAGAUGUGCAUGUACCGUACGAAUAAGGAUCGGCUAACUCCGUGCC